rnacentral:rRNA from 2 species
UGGCAGUCAGAGGCGAUGAAGGGCGUGCUAAUCUGCGAUAAGCGCCGGUAAGGUGAUAUGAACCGUUAUAACCGGCGAUACCCGAAUGGGGAAACCCAGUGUGAUUCGUCACACUAUCAUUAACUGAAUCCAUAGGUUAAUGAGGCGAACCGGGGGAACUGAAACAUCUAAGUACCCCGAGGAAAAGAAAUCAACCGAGAUUCCCCCAGUAGCGGCGAGCGAACGGGGAGGAGCCCAGAGCCUGAAUCAGCAUGUGUGUUAGUGGAAGCGUCUGGAAAGGCGCGCGAUACAGGGUGACAGCCCCGUACACAAAAGCGCAUGUGCUGUGAGCUCGAUGAGUAGGGCGGGACACGUGGUAUCCUGUCUGAAUAUGGGGGGACCAUCCUCCAAGGCUAAAUACUCCUGACUGACCGAUAGUGAACCAGUACCGUGAGGGAAAGGCGAAAAGAACCCCGGCGAGGGGAGUGAAAAAGAACCUGAAACCGU